rnacentral:sRNA from 1 species
CUCUACUGUUGAAUGACAAUUCCAAAUACUCUAGACAUUAAAGUGACAUGUGAUUCUUAAGAUAGUUUUUUCAGGACAGUAAUGAAUCCAGUGACGGUAUUGGAUUAGCGAGUUUGUUCGAACUCGUAAUCACUCGUUAAACAGCAUCAUCUUUUAUAUAUUAAAUAAAUAAAUCUUAUGCAAAACAUUAUAUAUAUUUAAACACUUAUUAAUUAUGAUUUUGGCACGUAGAAAUAGUGCUGAAUCCCAACCCUUUUAAAAUGGUUUUCCUUCAAAAUGUGCAGGCAAGCCUUGUAGGACUAAGUAGCCUAUAAAGCUUGAGCAGUGUUAAUUACGAAUUUUUAAAUUGGAUGAAAACAAGAAUUAAUAAACUUACAGAAAAUAGUUAAAGGAUCCAUUUGAAUAAUGAAAAACAGGAAUUAAUCUUUAUCGCCUUUUUACGUUUUUAAUUAUAUAUUCCUUAUAAUACCAUUUGAGGGAAGCAUUAAAUAAAUUUUGAAAGAAAUAAAAGAUAAUUGAUUAAGGUGAGCAUUUCAAUUAAGCUGACCAAUAAAUCUUUUCGUGGAUAUUAUUUGAAUUUUGAUGAAUUUUUUUUACAUUGAGAAGGUAAAAGUUGGAAACAUGGAAUUCCGAAAAAUCAUAUGGGUAACUUAGUGAAUUAUAAGUAGAUGUGUUUGGAUAGUUUAAUAAAACUUUUUAUUCAAUAAAAAGUUUUCUAAUUAUAUAUGAUUUUUUGUUAUACGAUUCUUUAGUUAAACAAGGUGGUUUUAAAUCCUCAUGGUCGAGAGGAUAUUCUUAAUACUACUCUUGGAUGACCUUAACACUCUAGAUGUGUUUGUACUGUUGGAUAUGGUGUGAGGAUUUGAGGUUAUUUUGAAGUCUCAUCGUAAGCCAAUCUCAUUCAUCGUUUAAUGUUUCUAUAGAGCAAGUUUUGAAGAAGAUGAAAAUUGACUUGGUAGAGUAGUUACGACAAAAGAUGAGAGAAGAACGAGAGUAGAUUAGACAUGAGUGGCAAGUGAUGAUGGAAACAUUUGACAAGCGUUUAAAGAGCUUAGUACUCUUGCAAAAGCUCCCCAGUAUGGUGUAACUCGAUCUUUUUCUCGGUCUCCGAGCCAAUACUAAAGGGAGUUGUUCAACUACAAUUAAAAUGAGGUUUGACAUUGGCUUUGGUUGUCAAGGUGAGUUGUACACAUUGGUUGAUUAUGUAUCUCCCUCUUAAUUGGUGGUUCAUGGGAAGUGCUUUGAAGGUUCCACCAUGUUGCAUGGUGAAUGUCUCCCAUCUUAUUUGGUAAGGGUUAUGGUAGAGACCGUAUUGGCAAUUGAUGUUGUAGUUCUUAUACUGACAUUAGGGAUUGUUGGUAUUGUAUCACAUCGCUUGACUGAAACAUCUCAUGAGGAUGACAUCAUAGAUUGAAUUGGUUACAUCACACGUUAAAUCAAUUUGUAUCUCCAUUAAUAUUGCUAUAUAUGUAAUAUAUAAUCCUGUCAUAUAUUUGUUUUGUGUGUAGCAACAUGUAACAGAGUUGCAUGCAUUAAAAAAUUUGGAGGAUCCAAUAGCCAUGUUGACAGAGGUUAUUACAACCAUGGUGAUUCCUUGGGAUGCCACUAUUUUUGGCAAAGAUAGCGACCUUCCAUGGUUUAUAUAGAUAUGAUUUGAUGAAGACUUUAGCAGGAAAUAAGGAGUUAAACAUAUAUAUUCUCUAGUUAUGGAUGAUGUAAGUUAACUUUUAAAGUCAUUUUUAUUUCUUACUUCAUUAGAUAUUUGAUGUGUUUAAUAUCAAAUUUAAGUACUUGUAUGAUUUGUGUUUAGAAGAGGGAAAUGAUGACACAUAUGAGUUUAUAGACCUUCAGUUCAUGACCUUGAUGGAUAACAAGAAAAUAGAAACAAAAAUGUACAUCACUAAUUCUAUAAUGCAAGGGUAGAAACAAGUUUACCAUGUUUUAUAUAUAGAUAAGUAAGUCUAUGCUUAUUUAAUAACUUAUAAUUUUGGUAAGAUAUAUGUUUUAAUUAAUUUUCAACGUAGUCCUCAUUAGCAAUUACUAGUUCUAUUAGUAUCAAAUCGUACCUUAUAUAUUUUUCUCCCUGCAUUAGAAGCCUCUCCCUCACAUGAGAAGUAUAGUAGACAUUGAAAUAAACAAACUAGGAGCUACGAGUGUGAAUAGUACAUCAUGCAAUGGAUGAUAAUUAUUGUGCAAGUCGGCUAUCGAAGUAAUUGGGAUGAUAAUUUUAAUGAUGACCAAUUGUUCCAUCA